rnacentral:lncRNA from 1 species
GUAAAAUGAAAAACAGACACGAUAUGACAUUUAGAAAAUCUGGUGGACUUAUGGUUCUUUAUAAAGAAAAAUUAUGCGAUCAUAUUAAGUUCCUCUCGAGUGAUAGUAAUUUUGUUAUAUGGUUUGAAAUCUCAUCAUCAUAUACUAAACUUGAUGCUGAAAUAGCCAUUGGGUCUGUUUAUAUUCCACCGGAAAACACUAAAUAUAGUUCACCCGACGCCUUUCGCGAAAUCGAAACUGAUAUUCUAAAAUUUUCAACUAAAUACAAAUAUGUUUGCUUAAAUGGCGAUUUCAACAGUAGAACAUCGACUGAUGCUGAUUUUAUCCCAACUGAUGGAAAUGAUAUUUCUGAUAUUCUGAAUUUACCGGAAAUCACAGAAAACGACACCUACAAAUUCGAAAUCUACAACAUACCGAUAGCAAGAAAUAAUAAAGAUAAAACAAAAAAUAAUUAUGGGAAACUAUUACUUGAUUUAUGUAAAUUUACAAAUAUGUAUAUUAUAAACGGCCGCAUAGGAGAAAAUAUGACGGGGG